rnacentral:rRNA from 1 species
GACGAACGCUGGCGGCGUGCUUAACACAUGCAAGUCGAACGAAGUGGCGAACGGGAGAGUAACGCGUAAUCAACCUGCCCUUCAGAGGGGGACAACAGUUGGAAAAGACUGCUAAUACCGCAUACUGAAGGAGGUGAUUGCGUCUGAUUAGCUAGUUGGAGGGGUAACGGCCAACCAAGGCGAUGAUCAGUAGCCGGGCUGAGAGAAUGAACGGCCACAUUGGGACUGAGACACGGCCCAGACUCCUACGGGAGGCAGCAGGGGGUAAUCUUCCGCAAUGGACGAGAGUCUGACGGAGCAACUCCGCGUGAGUGAUGACGGCCUGCGGGUUGUAAAGCUCUGUUAAUCGGGACGCGGUACCGGAAUAUCAAGCCACGGCUAACUACGUGCCAGCAGCCGCGGUUCUAC